rnacentral:rRNA from 1 species
GAUGAACGCUGUCUACAGGCUUAACACAUGCAAGUCGAGGGGAAACGACGGGGAAGCUUGCUUCCCCGGGCGUCGACCGGCGCACGGGUGAGUAACGCGUAUCCAACCUGCCUCUGACUGAGGGAUAACCCGUCGAAAGUCGGCCUAAUACCUCAUGGCAUCGUCUGCGGGCAUCCAACGACGAUUAAAGAUUUCAUCGGUCAGGGAUGGGGAUGCGUCUGAUUAGCUUGUUGGCGGGGUAACGGCCCACCAAGGCUACGAUCAGUAGGGGUUCUGAGAGGAAGGUCCCCCACAUUGGAACUGAGACACGGUCCAAACUCCUACGGGAGGCAGCAGUGAGGAAUAUUGGUCAAUGGGCGGGAGCCUGAACCAGCCAAGUAGCGUGCAGGAUGACGGCCCUAUGUGUUGUAAACUGCUUUUAUGCGGGGAUAAAGUGAGGGACGUGUCCUUCAUUGCAGGUACCGCAUGAAUAAGGACCGGCUAAUUCCGUG